rnacentral:rRNA from 1 species
UACGAAGGGUGCAAGCGUUGCUCGGAAUUAUUGGGCGUAAAGGGUAGGUAGGUGGUUACGUAUGUCUGGGGUGAAAUCCCUGAGCUCAACUCAGGAAGUGCCUUGGAAACGGCGUAACUAGAGUACUAGAGAGGUUCGUGGAAUUCCUGGUGUAGCGGUGAAAUGCGUAGAUAUCAGGAGGAACACCUGCGGUGUAGACGGCUUACUGGACCAUAACUGACGCUGAGGCACGAAAGCGUGGGUAGCAAACAGG